CCUACGGGAGGCAGCAGUGAGGAAUAUUGGUCAAUGGCCGAGAGGCUGAACCAGCCAAGUCGCGUGAGGGAAGAAUGUCCUAUGGAUUGUAAACCUCUUUUGUCAGGGAGCAAAGUCACCCACGUGUGGGUGUUGGAGAGUACCUGAAGAAAAAGCAUCGGCUAACUCCGUGCCAGCAGCCGCGGUAAUACGGGGGAUGCGAGCGUUAUCCGGAUUUAUUGGGUUUAAAGGGUGCGUAGGCGGGUUAUCAAGUCAGCGGUAAAAUCGUGGAGCGAAACUCCAUCCAGCCGGUGAAACUGAUGAUCUUGAGUGGGCGAGAAGUAUGCGGAAUGCGUGGUGUAGCGGUGAAAUGCAUAGAUAUCAGGCAGAACUCCGAUUGCGAAGGCAGCAUACCGGCGCCCGACUGACGCUGAAGCACGAAAGCGUGGGUAGCGAACAGGAUUAGAUACCCCAGUAGUC
rnacentral:rRNA from 1 species